AUUGAACGCUGGCGGCAGGCCUAACACAUGCAAGUCGAGCGGAUGAAGGGAGCUUGCUCCUGGAUUCAGCGGCGGACGGGUGAGUAAUGCCUAGGAAUCUGCCUGGUAGUGGGGGGCAACGUUUCGAAAGGAACGCUAAUACCGCAUACGUCCUACGGGAGAAAGCAGGGGACCUUCGGGCCUUGCGCUAUCAGAUGAGCCUAGGUCGGAUUAGCUAGUUGGAGAGGUAAUGGCUCACCAAGGCGACGAUCCGUAACUGGUCUGAGAGGAUGAUCAGUCACACUGGAACUGAGACACGGUCCAGACUCCUACGGGAGGCAGCAGUGGGGAAUAUUGGACAAUGGGCGAAAGCCUGAUCCAGCCAUGCCGCGUGUGUGAAGAAGGUCUUCGGAUUGUAAAGCACUUUAAGUUGGGAGGAAGGGUUGUAGAUUAAUACUCUUGGAUAGUGGACGUUACUCGCAGAAUAAGCACCGGCUAACUCUGUGCCAGCCGCCGCCGUAAUAC
rnacentral:rRNA from 1 species